GUAAACGGCUGCAUAAAUCUGAGUGUACUAAGGUAGCGCUAUAAUUUGCCCUUUAAAUGGGGGCUGGUAUGAAUGGGUUCACGUGAGAUUUGCUGUGUCAUAGGAAAUUGAUUGAAAUUAACUUUCAGGUGAAGAGGCCUGGCUAAAUGUAAAGGACGACAAGACCCUAGAAGCUUUACUUAAAGUGAAAUUGCAGGUUUAAUUCACCAAAGUUUUGUUGGGGCAACAUAGUUAGAAGAUAUAACUGAUUAUUAUUUACCGACAGGUUUUAACCACACUGGUGGAUAAGAUAAGUUACUCUAGGGAUAACAGCGUAAUUUUUUUUAAUAGUACGUAUUGUAAAAAAAGUUUGCGACCUCGAUGUUGGAUUAGGGUUUCCUUAGGGUGUAGAAGCUCUAGAGGGUUGGCCUGUUCGUCCAUUAAAACCCUACA
rnacentral:rRNA from 1 species